UACGUAGGGGGCAAGCGUUGUCCGGAUUUAUUGGGCGUAAAGAGCGUGUAGGCGGCCAUGCAGGUCCGUUGUGAAAACUCGAGGCUCAACCUCGAGACGUCGAUGGAAACCUCAUGGCUAGAGUCCGGAAGAGAAGAGCGGAAUUCCACGUGUAGCGGUGAAAUGCGUAGAGAUGUGGAGGACCACGAGUGGCGAAGGCGGCUCUUUGGUCUGUAACUGACGCUGAGGCGCGAAAGCGUGGGGAGCGAACAGG
rnacentral:rRNA from 1 species